rnacentral:rRNA from 1 species
AUGUCCUCUAGAAAGCAUUUAUCUGGUAGUGCCAAAAGGAAGAGAAAGAAGGAAAAAGAUGAAGAGGUAAAAUCCCUAAAAGGAUCACUUAAGAAUUUUGUCAGACCUGCUAGUUCUUCUAGAGAUCCCCUGGAAUUGGCCAUACUAUGUGUUGAAGAACAACCAGCUGAAAAUACAAAUUCUAUUGAUGAUGAUAUGAAUGGCGGUAAUAGCAAUUCCAGUGAGCAAGAAAAUGUAACUCAUUCAUCAAAUUCUGAAUCACCGGGUGUUGAUAAACAACAACCAUUCACUGUUGAUAUUUUUGAUCCACGAAACUGGGAUAAUCUGGAUGAUAAGGCUAGAGAUAUUUUAGUUGAGAAGGGUCUCCUUUUCAAAUCCCAUAGCAACAAGAGUGCGUUAGCAGGUAAUGGAUUGAGUGAUUGGAAGCAUCUUAGCGAGAGGCUUAAAGAACAUGAAAAUGGUGUAGAGCAUAUUAAAACCAUGAACACUUGGAAUGAGUUAAAAGUUAGACCAGCCAAAAAUAAAACCAUUGAUAAGGAUUUGCAGCAGCAAAUCAAUAAGGAGAAAGAACGUUUGAGACAAGUGUUAGUGAGAUUAGUAGCCAUUGUUAAAUAUCUUGGUAAACGUAGCUUGGUUUUUCGUGGAUCUAGUGAGAAACUUUACCAACACAAUAAUGGUAAUUUUUUGGCAUGUGUAGAGAUGAUUGCUGAAUUUGAUCCAAUAAUGCAAGAACAUCUUAGACGAAUUCAAAAUGAUGAAAUUUAUCAUCACUAUCUCAGCCACAAAAUUCAGAAUGAGUUGAUUUCUCUAUUGGCCUCUAGUGUUACUAGUUCCAUCUUACAAAUUAUUAAAGAGGCUAAAUAUUUCUCCAUAACUCUUGAUUGUACUCCGGAUGUUAGCCAUCAAGAACAAAUGACCCUAAUUAUUCGAUGUGUUAACAUGUCAAAUAAGAAAAUAAAAAUAGAAGAAUUUUUUAUGGAAUUUUUGACAGUGGAUGACACUUCUGGUUUGGGUCUUUUUAAUGUACUUCUUGACGCAAUAGAUUCUUAUGGCUUAAAUAUUGAUAAUGUAAGGGGCCAAGGCUACGAUAAUGGUUCCAACAUGAAAGGAAAUAAACAAGGGAGCGACGCAAAUAAUUUAUUUGAUGCACUUGGUAGUUUUGAGUUUUUACUUGGCAUGGUUAUUUGGCAUGAUAUAUUAUUUGCUAUAAACAUGGUGAGUAAGAAGUUGCAGUCCGCAUCUAUGUUUGAUAUGGGCAUAGAACCAUCAUUUCCAAUAAAAUGUAAUGUUACUAGGAAGAAACAAUUUGAUGAACCUAAUAACGAUGAAGAAGUUCUAAAAGCUGAGAAGGCGUUCGAAGUUAAUUACUUCUUAGUUCUGGUUGAUAUUGCAAAUUUAUUGAAUGAUGUUGAACUACGCAAAUGUUGUGCUAAGUUCGUAGAAACAUUUUCACGAAAUGGUUCAUGCGAUGUUGAGUUAGAUGAUCUUUUUCCGAAUUAA